CAACCUCAUCUCUUGACCUUGGAAAAGCCUUUCUAAUGUGUGAGAGUUCCUUUCAGCCAUCUAAGAACACUGGUCUGCCAGAGUGCUGUGCUGAGAAGAAUGCAGAAAUUGUAACCAGAUUCAGUUAAGAAGAGUGCUGUGAUAAACUAAUAAUGCCUGCUGUGACAUUGAUGGGAGACAUAGCCAGUCUUGGGUUUUACCAUUCCUGGCUUAAAUAAAGCAUUCCCUCCAACACUAGAUUUCAACUAAAAUGUUUUGAAAUGUUUGGCUACUGUGAAGCCAAUUUGAAUCUAUAUGCCAA
rnacentral:lncRNA from 1 species